rnacentral:rRNA from 1 species
AACGAACGCUGGCGGCAUGCCUAACACAUGCAAGUCGAACGAGACCUUCGGGUCUAGUGGCGCACGGGUGCGUAACGCGUGGGAAUCUGCCCUUGGGUUCGGAAUAACAGUUGGAAACGACUGCUAAUACCGGAUGAUGACGUAAGUCCAAAGAUUUGUCGCCCAGGGAUGAGCCCGCGUAGGAUUAGCUAGUUGGUGGGGUAAAGGCCUACCAAGGCGACGAUCCUUAGCUGGUCUGAGAGGAUGAUCAGCCACACUGGGACUGAGACACGGCCCAGAAUCCUGCGGGAGGCAGCAGUGGGGAAUAUUGGACAAUGGGCGGAAGCCUGAUCCAGCAAUGCCGCGUGAGUGAUGAAGGCCUUAGGGUUGUAAAGCUCUUUUACCCGGGAUGAUAAUGACAGUACCGGGAGAAUAAGCCCCGGCUAACUCCGUG